UACAGAGGGGGCAAGCGUUGUUCGGAAUUACUGGGCGUAAAGGGCGCGUAGGCGGCCUGUUAAGUCGAACGUGAAAUCCCCGGGCUCAACCCGGGAACUGCGUCCGAUACUGGCAGGCUUGAAUCCGGGAGAGGGAUGCGGAAUUCCAGGUGUAGCGGUGAAAUACGUAGAUAUCUGGAGGAACACCGGUGGCGAAGGCGGCAUCCUGGACCGGCAUGACGCUGAGG
rnacentral:rRNA from 1 species